rnacentral:rRNA from 1 species
CCUACGGGGUGCAGCAGUGGGGGAUAUUGCACAAUGGGGGAAACCCUGAUGCAGCGACGCCGCGUGGGCGAAGAAGUAUUUCGGUAUGUAAAGCCCUAUCAGCAGGGAAGAAGAAAUGACGGUACCUGAGUAAGAAGCACCGGCUAAAUACGUGCCAGCAGCCGCGGUAAUACGUAUGGUGCAAGCGUUAUCCGGAUUUACUGGGUGUAAAGGGAGCGCAGGCGGCACGGCAAGCCUGAUGUGAAAGCCCGCGGCCCAACCGCGGGACUGCAUUGGGAACUACCGGGCUGGAGUGCCGGAGAGGUAGGCGGAAUUCCUAGUGUAGCGGUGAAAUGCGUAGAUAUUAGGAGGAACACCAGUGGCGAAGGCGGCUUACUGGACAGUAACUGACGUUGAGGCUCGAAAGCGUGGGGAGCAAACAGGAUUAGAUACCCGGGUAGUC